AUGUUUUUUGAGAUGACCAUGUCAAUAUUCCAGGUUUUCCAAAGCCUACCAAUAUCCAGGGUUUCCAGUGGCGCCAGUGUCAAUGUCUUCCAACAACUCCAGGUCUUCCAUCAACUCCAAGUCUUCCAAAAACCUCAAAGUCUUCCAGACAAUCCUGGUCUUCCAGAAAAUCCUCGUCUCCCAAAUAAUAUAUGUCUUCCAAAAGUCUCCAAGUCUUCCAGGAAAUCCAGUCUUCCGGCAGUUAUAUGUCUUCCACAAAAUCCAGAUCUUCCAGGAAAACAUACGUCUUCCAGAAAAUCCAUGUCUUCCAGUUUUGAGGUCUUCCUGCCAAUCUACAUCUUCCAACAAUUUCAAGGUCUUCCCGCCAAUUCAUGUCUUCCAGAAAAAUCUGUGUCUUCCACCAAAUCCAAGUCUUCCAAUCAAUCUGGUUCUUCCAGAAAAGUCCAAGUCUUCCAAACAAUGUCUUCCAGAAAGAAAUCCAGGUCUUCCAGGCAGCCCAUGUCUUCCAGAAAAAUCUACGUCUUCCUCCAAAUCCAAGUUUUCCAAUCAAUCCAGUUCUUCCGGAAAUGUUCAAGUCUUCCAGUCAAUCAGUGUCUUCCAGAAAGAAAUCCAGGUCUUCCAGAAAAAUCUACGUCUUCCACAAAACCCAGGUCUUCCAGUCAAUCCAUGUCUUCUGGAAAAAUCCAGGUCUUCCAACCAAUCUCUCUUCCACCAAAUCAAGUCUUCCAAUCAACCCGUGUCUUCCUGAUAAAAUGUCUGUCUUCCACUAAAUCUGUAUCUUCCAAUUCAGCCAAGUCUUCCAGAAAAAUCCUUGUCUUCCAAUAAUCUCCAGGUCUUCCAGUCAAUGUCUUCCUGAAGAUCUAUGUCUUCCAGAAUAUCCGUAUCUUCCUGUAACCUCCCAGUCUUCCAGCAAAUCCACGUCUUCCGGGCACUUCAGGUCUUCCUGAAAAUCCAGGUCUUCCAAAAAACUCAUGUCUUCCAGAAAAUCCACGUCUUCCAGAGAAUUCUGGUCUUCCAUCAAAUCCAUGGCUUCCAAGAAAUCCACGUCUUCCUGCUAAUCUAUGUCUUCCAGCAAAUCCACGACUUCCAAGAAAGCUGUCUUCCUUCAAAUUCAUGUCUUCCAGUCUACCUACGUCUUCCAACAAAGCCACGUCUUCCAGAAAAAUCCACGUCUUCCAGCAAAGCCAUGUCUUCCAGAAUAAUUCAUGUCUUCCAACAAAGCUACGUCUUCCAGAAAAUACAUGUCUUCCAGCAAAUCUGCGUCUUCCAGCAAAUCCACGUCUUCCAGAAAAAAACCUGUCUUCCAGCAAAUCCCUGUCUUCAGAAAAUCCACGUCUUCCAGAAAACCCACGUCUUCCAGAAAAUCCAUGUCUUCCUGCACCUUCAGGUCUUCCAGCAUCUCCAGGGCUUCCAGCAUCUGCUCGUCUUCCUACAUCUCUGCAUCUUCCAGCAUCAUCACGUCUUCCAACAUCUCCAGGUCUUCCAACAACUACCCAGUCUUCCAUCAGCGGGCUCAAUAUCUACGUCUUCCAAUGUCUUCAGUGUGCUGGUCUAACAUUAAGGUCUUCCAGUCUCUGCAAUAUCCAG
ensembl:lncRNA